AUUGAACGCUGGCGGCAGGCCUAACACAUGCAAGUCGAACGGUAACAGGAAGCAGCUUGCUGCUUUGCUGACGAGUGGCGGACGGGUGAGUAAUGUCUGGGAAACUGCCCGAUGGAGGGGGAUAACUACUGGAAACGGUAGCUAAUACCGCAUAACGUCGCAAGACCAAAGAGGGGGACCUUAGGGCCUCUUGCCAUCGGAUGUGCCCAGAUGGGAUUAGCUAGUAGGUGGGUAACGGCUCACCUAGGCGACGAUCCCUAGCUGGUCUGAGAGGAUGACCAGCCACACUGGAACUGAGACACGGUCCAGACUCCUACGGGAGGCAGCAGUGGGGAAUAUUGCACAAUGGGCGCAAGCCUGAUGCAGCCAUGCCGCGUGUAUGAAGAAGGCCUUCGGGUUGUAAAGUACUUUCAGCGGGGAGGAAGGGAGUAAAGUUAAUACCUUUGCUCAUUGACGUUACCCGCAGAAGAAGCACCGGCUAACUCCGUG
rnacentral:rRNA from 1 species